AAGGUACCAUUCUCUUUGUCUCGUUGAGGAGUAUGAUUUUUACUUUUGAAUCACUCGAUUUCGUUGAGUAUUGAAGAAGUUAUGAAUGUUUAAAAUUUACCCAGUUUCCGGCAAGUUUUUCAGUUUUCCUACGGACCAGUCACCUUUCAGGCUAUUUUCCGGCCAUCUCUGACAACCAUUGGGCUUCUAAAUAGGUAUAAUCUUGUUCUACACUUUCCUAUCUUCAUUUUUAUAUAUUAUGAGUCGAAUUUGGUUAAGAAACAAUUGAGUUAUGAAGGUUUGAAAAUUGUCCAAAUUUACGGGCAAGAGCUCCUGAACACUUAAUGGAGUUUUUAACGGAAUGACCAAAAUAAUGGAUAGUGGACAAUCUCAGGGACCAUUUCUAUUGAUUUUCAAUCUCAGGGACCAAAGUGAUGUGUUAUGCAAAUCUCAGGGAUCGUUUUGGCUAAAAAGCCUUUCUUGACAAUGCGCUCGGUGCACAGAAACACCAAGGCAACCAUUGCCGGCCUUUUUAUGGUCAACCAUGCAACAACGAAAUGAAAACAGUCAAUCUCGCCAGCUAGGAAAAUUUCACCAUCCUUGAACCCACCUCUUGCAAACUGCCCUCAACCCUCCUAAUUUCAAUUGUUGUAUUUCUUGUAUGACAUCUGUUGAUGCACAAAAUCCUGAAGAUCUUGGACCAACGUAAAUCAGGCCGUGAAUCACACAAACGCACAAGAACACAAAGAUGUAUCGUGGUUCACCUCAAUGUUUGGGCUACGUCCACACUGAUGUUGAUUCUGAUUCAUUGUAUAAAUGUAUGGAUUACAAUAGAUCGGCAAUGGAGCUCUCUGUGGAUGCAGCCCUUGCCAUUUCUCUCUCUGUUUGGUUGAGAGGGUAUUGCCCUCUAUUUGUUAUGAGGGAUGUGAGACUCUGAAUGUGAGACCUUGUCAAUGAGGGUGAGGGAGAGUCCCUUUUAUAAAAUAAGGGCUCCCUCCCUUUUACAUAAAUUAUGGGCUUAGGGAUGAGGCCCAAAGAUGAGGCCUAAAGAUGAGGCCCAAAGAUGAGGCCUAAAGAUGAGGCCCAAUAUAUGGAACUAACAGGAGUCCCUCAAGUCUUCAGUCAAGAGAGUUUUUUGGCUGGAGACUUCAAAUCCAAUCCAUGUACGGGUCGAAGUGACUAGAUGUCGUCCAGAACUGGUACUCAACACAAGGCAAUGCUCAACAUAAAGCAAUACUCUGCUAGAGGUAUCACACGUUAUAAGACUGCUCGGCUGGAGGCGAUGCUCGUUGCGAGGCUGCUCGGCUAGAGGCUAUGCUCGCGGCGAGGCGGUUGCUCGGCUGAAGGCGGUUGCUCGGCUGGAGGCGAUGCUCGUUGCUCGGCUGCUCGGCUAGAGGCUAUGCUCGCUGCGAGGUGGCUCGGCUCGUGGUAUUCCUCAUUGCAAGUAUCUACUUUAUGUCGACAUGCACUCAGUAUGAGUUGAUUCUCGACAUGAGUCGGGUUAGACAAGAGAUCAUUGUUCGGACUAAAUAUUUGUCACCAUAAGCAUGUGGCUCAGUGAUCCAUAGGUUGAUCAAUAAUGUCGGUAGGCUUCUUUAAUUAGCAACAAUGUCGAUCAGUGGAUCUAGUUGCUCAAUAAUUCCUGACAAUAAAUGACAGUAUAAGUAUGACUGUAUAAUGAAUAAAUAAAAUUGACAAAGUUUGUCAAUGCAAAAUAUUGUAUCAUAUGCCUUCUAUAAAUAAAUAAUUUAUUCAGUCGUGUGGUAAAUCACAUGUUGUAUAAGUGACAUAGUUUAAUGGCAGUCACAAUACUCUAGGCCAUGAAUAAAUAUUGUAUAAGUAAUUGAAAUAUGAGCCAGUACAUGUGAUAAUUAUGAGGUGAAUACCACAAAAUGAAAGGAUGUGAUGUCUAAUUAUGUCACAUGGCAUAGGAAUAGUGAUGUGCUGAAAGAUUAUCAGCAUUAUAAUAAAAUAUUUAAACACACAUAUCUGUAUUGUGCAGUGUGCAGAAGCCAGUGAUACAUCACCACAACUUUAAAUAAUAUAACUUUGUGUGAUGUGCUUUGCCACGUUGUUGAUAGUGAUUAUGUGAUAAAUAUCACACAAUAAUAAAAUAAUAAAUAAAUAAUUUGAGGAACAUAAUGAUGUGAAAAGUAAAGCUUUUUUUUUUCUUUUGGCAGAUGGCAGACAAAACCAGAAAUAAUAAUAGAAUUAUUAUAAAAAAAUGAUCUUAUCUUUGCUUUUCCCAUGGCUUUUUCAGAAAAUGAGCAUGGGGGGAACAUGCACUCCCCUUGAUGAUGAAAGUUUCAUCUUUUUUUUUUUUUCAAAAGUUGGUGGGCAUCUUCUUGAUGCUCUUUGAUGCUUUUCAUUUUCGAAUACUGAGGACGGUACGCAUUUCACGAACUCAUCAGAGAAAGAGGGGAUAUCACCAUCGAAGUGAAACGCUCUCUCCACUUGCUCACUUCCUCCUCAGGUCUAUGUCAUCCUCACAAGAAAAAUAAUAAUAUUAAUUCAGUAGUUCCAAAAUCAUCUGCCAAAGCUCAAUAUCCUUCCUCU
rnacentral:lncRNA from 1 species